AUUGCUUCUCGGCCUUUUGGCUAAGAUCAAGUGUAGUAAUUCAUAUAUGCCAACAUGUAUAUGUAAUUCAUAUAUGUGAGCUUAAGGAAAACAUUA
rnacentral:snRNA from 1 species